CUUGCCUUGCUUCCCCUUUACCUUCUGCCAUGAUUAGGAAGCCAGCUGCCAUGUCAUGAGGACACUCCAGUGGCCCUAUGGAGGGGUCCUGCAAGUAAGGACCAGAGGCCUCCCUGUCAACCUGCCAGCAGGUGUGAGCCAUCUUGGAAGCAGAUUCUCCAGCCCAGAUCUUCAGAUGACCACAGGCCCAGGUGACCUCCUGACUGCAACCCCAAGCCACAACCAUGCAAUGAGCCACUCCCUCUUUCCUGCCUACCAUAAACUGUGUGAGAGAAUAAACUGUGAGUGUAUUGUCACUUUGGGCUAUUUAACUGAGCAGAAAUCUGUUAUGCUGCAAUAGAUAAUCAACCCUUCAGCUUUGGAGCCAUCUAGGAAGGUUUAGGGACCAGCAUGGCUUUGGGAGGAGCAAUUCAUUCCAAGCCAAUUUAAUUUCCUCUCAUGAUGAAGUGACCUGGCAUGCGGAUAAGGGAGCAAUAAGUGUAUCUCCUCGCCUCUGGAGGGCUUUUAAUUCAAUACCACAUGCCACUCUCAUCAACAUGCAGGGAGGCAGGGUCUGGGCAGUGGUUCAUUGAUUUGGCCCUAGGAGAAUACACGUAGGAGCUCAUCCAGGACUUGAGGGAGGGGAAGGAAUAUGGAUAUUUCUGUGAUCUGAAUGUGUCCCCCAAAAUUCAUGUGUUGGAAACUUGAUCCUUAAUGCAAUAGUGUUGGGAGGUGGAACCUUUGGGGAGGUGUUUAGAUCAGGAGGGCUCUGCCUUCAUGAAUGGAUCAAUGCUAUCACAAAAGGGCCUGAUGGAGGCAGUUUGGUUCUUUUUUUGCCUUUCCUUCUGCCUUCUGCGUGGGAGGGCACAGCAUUCAAGACACCAUCUUAGAAGCAGAGACUGGGCCCUCACCAGACACAAAACCUGCCAGUUCCUUGAUGUUGGACUUAUCAGAAUCCAG
rnacentral:lncRNA from 1 species